rnacentral:rRNA from 1 species
AUUGAACGCUGGCGGCAUGCCUUACACAUGCAAGUCGAACGGUAACAGGUCUUCGGAUGCUGACGAGUGGCGAACGGGUGAGUAAUACAUCGGAACGUGCCUAGUAGUGGGGGAUAACUACUCGAAAGAGUGGCUAAUACCGCAUGAGAUCUACGGAUGAAAGCAGGGGAUCGCAAGACCUUGUGCUACUAGAGCGGCCGAUGGCAGAUUAGGUAGUUGGUGGGAUAAAAGCUUACCAAGCCGACGAUCUGUAGCUGGUCUGAGAGGACGAUCAGCCACACUGGGACUGAGACACGGCCCAGACUCCUACGGGAGGCAGCAGUGGGGAAUUUUGGACAAUGGGCGCAAGCCUGAUCCAGCAAUGCCGCGUGCAGGAUGAAGGCCUUCGGGUUGUAAACUGCUUUUGUACGGAACGAAAAGCCUUGGGUUAAUACCCUGGGGUCAUGACGGUACCGUAAGAAUAAGCACCGGCUAACUUCGUGCCAGCCGCCGCAGUAA